UGGGGUGUAAAUUUUAAGAAAUAAACAAUGAUCAAUUUCUGGAUUUUGAUUGUGAGCUUUAGCACCAUCUAUACAGUUCUAACAGUUCAUCAGCCUGAUAAAGAGCUCAGUGUGAAUAUUGGAAGCUCAGCUACUCUCCGGUGUUGUAUUUCUGCAAAUGAAGUUGGGAUAAUUGCCUGGUUUAAACAACCAAACAGACAAAAACCUCGGAUUAUGGUCACAAUAUAUAAAAGUGCUGGAGAAACAUUUUAUGAUGGAUUUCAAAAAUCUGAUUUUAAAAUUGAAAGAUUUUCAAACUGCUUUAAUAUGACCAUUUUAAAAACCACUCAGUCUGAUGAAGCCAUGUACUACUGUGCACUGAUGGAAAAUAACCCUGUGUUUGCAGAUGGAACUUAUUUAAAAAUUAAAGAUGUGCAUGCUACUACUGCAUCAGAAACAUCUGUACCACAUCUGUGUGAUAGUUCAGUCAUGUUUAAACCAACACUGCAUGGAAACAGCACUAACAUGAAAACAGUGUUGGGUUUGGGGACGGCUUUAAGUGUGUGUGCACUUCUGAUAUUCUGUCUCAUUUAUUUUGUACUGAGAAGAAAAACUAUAGUAAACUCCAGAGGUAAAGGGCACUGA